GUGCGUAAAUCCCGACUUUCUGAAGGGACGUAUUUAUUAGAUUUAUGGCUAUCUCUCGCUAGCCCGAUCAGCGGUGAAUCAUGGUAACUUGACGGAUUGCAUGGCCUCCGUGCCGGCGACGUGUCAUUCAAGUUUCUGCCCCAUCAGGUGUCGACUGUAGUGUAUUGGACUACAGUGCCUAUAACGGGUAGCGGAGGAUUAGGGUUCGAUUCCGGAGAGGGAGCCUGAGAAACGGCUACCACAUCCAAGGAAGGCAGCAGGCGCGCAAAUUACCCAAUCC
rnacentral:rRNA from 1 species